GCACAUGGGGAAUCCAGAAUUAUUAAAAAGUAAAAGCAAGAAACAAUGAGGACUCUAGGUAGCUCCUGCAAGGAUCUCUCUUUAUUCAGCAAAGAAAUCCAGAAAAAGUCAAUGGCAAACAACUUCCAAAUCUUUGCCAAAGAAAGAACAUGAGCCUAUCUACCAAAAGUCAUCUAUCAACAGAGAUCUAUCAACAGUUAUCAACAGAUCCUGAGAAUGUAGAGAUGGGAGAAAGGUCAUUAUAGGAGAUGUUAGAAAAAACAUUCCUGAGUCCAAAGGAGAGGGGAAAACUUAAGAAAAAGACUCUUGAUUAAUUCCACCUUAAUUAGGCUUGGUAUAAAUUGAGCUAGAGAAUUGCUUUCAAGACAUUGUUGCACUUACACUACUAGCGAGGAAGACUUUUCCAGAAAUCCAGGGGUUUCUUAUUUCCCGAGUUUGCCUGCUUAACACAUCUAACUCCCAUGAGCUAAGACCAACUCAAAGGGGUUUUUAAUUUUGAUCCAGCCCCAGAUGCUACUUUUUGGAAUGCAGGCUUGGCUCGCCAAGUCAAAGGUCAAACUUUGCCCUGGAAAAAAAAUUGCACACAUUUAAUUGAAACUACUCCUCGGGGGCUUCGCUUCAUAAGGGUUUGGGUUGGCCUUACGGGUAGGGUUUGUUUCUUAUGUACAUUAACUAUUUUAUGUGCAGCGUGAGACAAUUCCUCUUCACUCUAUGUGGCCCAAAAGUUUGGGAAAAAAGCUUGAGACUGACACCAAAUAAAGGAUCACCACAGCAA